rnacentral:lncRNA from 1 species
CUUAAAAAAAAUCCUCAAAGCAGGAUUUUGAACAAAUCUUGGAAUAAAAAACCAAAGCUGAGGAUAUAGAGAGACAAUAUAGAGCCACUUAGAUGUCUUAGAAACCCCAAAAAGUCAGAGCUAUAAAAGUGUGCUUAGAUGUCAUCUAUAUAUACCAUUCCUCUGAUUUUAGAGGAGAAAAAAAAAGCCAGAGGGGUUAAGCAACUUCCCCCAUACACUAGGCAGUGUUUGGGCAGUCCCUGUGUUGAAUGAGCUGAAAGAUGGCCAAGCAAGAUGUCUUCAGGAAGCACAAGGGACAAAUACAAAAAAGAGAUUUCAAAAGAAAUCCUGGGAAAGAAUAAUGAAAGAAGAUUCCAUCAAUUUUCCUGUCCCCAUGUACAACUGGCUACAAUGAGGUGAUAUUAGUCUCAUCUGUAGAAGCUCUACAUUUUGUUUCUGGAUCUUUUUUUCUAAUUCUGUGAUUUUAUCUAUUAAAAGUCUGCUUUGUUCAGACAUUAUGGCCUCCCAUUCCUUCUUUUGCUCCAUUAUCUCACAUUCCUGGGUAGCUUCCACCUCCCUCAGUGUGACAAGGAAAUCACUUUAAAAGACUGAUAUAUAUUAAUUUAAGGUCGCCAAGGAAUUCAGCUAUGUAAUUCCUAAAUGAAAACUCAAGUCAGCAGUCAACCUUUUAUGGAGUUUAAUUACAAACAGGAGGAAGAAAGGUAUUAGAGAUAGAGAGAGAGAGGGAGAGAGAAAGAAAGGGGAGAGAAGGGAAUAGGGCUUAAAUACCUCCUCUGUUUAGGCUGGGCCAAAAGGCCCAAGCCCUUAGAUAGCUGAGGCAAAGAAAAGAGAUCAGUCCCUAUCACUCACGUGACCAAAAUGGAGAAACAGUCUCAGGGGCCUCCACCUCCAGCUUCCUUCAGAGCAAGCUUUUCAGAGCACAACCUCU